AUAUAUUCUAUUGUCCAAGGUGCAGAUACGAAUAUGGUUUUGUAUCCGCUUAAAAGGGAAGUCCGGUGUAUUCCGGCGCGGUCCCGCCACUGUAAAUGCUGAACAACUCCAGUAGUACGCCACUGUUGCAUGAAGCGAUGGGAAGGUAGGAGGAUGUGAUGAAGCAGAGCCAGGAGACCUGCCUUGCGAGCAAUCGUUUC
rnacentral:ncRNA from 2 species